GAUGAACGCUGGCGGCGUGCCUAAUACAUGCAAGUCGAACGAAACUUCUUUAUCACCGAGUGCUUGCACUCACCGAUAAAGAGUUGAGUGGCGAACGGGUGAGUAACACGUGGGCAACCUGCCCAAAAGAGGGGGAUAACACUUGGAAACAGGUGCUAAUACCGCAUAACCAUAGUUACCGCAUGGUAACUCUGUAAAAGGUGGCUAUACUACCGCCUUUGGAUGGGCCCGCGGCGCAUUAGCUGGUUGUUGGGGUAAAGGCUUACCAAGUCAAUGAUGCACAACUGGUCUGAGCGGAUGAGCGGACACACUGGAACUGAGAAAGGGUCCAGACUCCUACGGGAGGCAGCAGGGGGGAAUAUUGGACAAUGGGCGAAAGCCUGAUCAAGCCAUGCCGCGUGUGUGAAGAAGGUCUUCGGAUUGUAAAGCACUUUAAGUUGGGAGGAAGGGCAGUAAGUUAAUACCUUGCUGUUUUGACGUUACCAACAGAAUAAGCACCGGCUAACUUCGUG
rnacentral:rRNA from 1 species